GACGAACGCUGGCGGCGUGCUUAACACAUGCAAGUCGAACGGAAAGGCCCUGCUCUUGUGGGGUGCUCGAGUGGCGAACGGGUGAGUAACACGUGAGUAACCUGCCCUUGACUUUGGGAUAACUUCAGGGAACUGGGGCUAAUACCGGAUAGGAGCUCCUGCUGCAUGGUGGGGGUUGGAAAGUUUCGGCGGUUGGGGAUGGACUCGCGGCUUAUCAGCUUGUUGGUGGGGUAGUGGCUUACCAAGGCUUUGACGGGUAGCCGGCCUGAGAGGGUGACCGGCCACAUUGGGACUGAGAUACGGCCCAGACUCCUACGGGAGGCAGCAGUGGGGAAUAUUGCACAAUGGGCGGAAGCCUGAUGCAGCAACGCCGCGUGCGGGAUGACGGCCUUCGGGUUGUAAACCGCUUUCGCCUGUGACGAAGCGUGAGUGACGGUAAUGGGUAAAGAAGCACCGGCUAACUACGUG
rnacentral:rRNA from 1 species